rnacentral:miRNA from 1 species
CACUUGAUUGGACACAGUUUAG